rnacentral:rRNA from 1 species
GACUAAAACUCAAAGGAAUUGACGGGGACCCGCACAAGCGGUGGAGCAUGUGGUUUAAUUCGAUGCUACGCGAAAAACCUUACCACUUUUUGACAUGAAGGUCGUAUCCCUCCUAACAGGGGGAGUCAGUUCGGCUGGACCUUACACAGGUGCUGCAUGGUUGUCGUCAGCUCGUGUCGUGAGAUGUUGGGUUAAGUCCCGCAACGAGCGCAACCCUCAUUCUUAGUUACC